rnacentral:rRNA from 1 species
GAGUUUGAUCCUGGCUCAGCAGGACGAACGCUGGCGGCGUGCUUAACACAUGCAAGUCGAGCGGUAAGGCCCUUCGGGGUACACGAGCGGCGAACGGGUGAGUAACACGUGGGUGAUCUGCCUCGCACUUCGGGAUAAGCCUGGGAAACUGGGUCUAAUACCGGAUAUGACCUGCUGUCGCAUGGCGGUGGGUGGAAAGAUUUAUCGGUGCGAGAUGGGCCCGCGGCCUAUCAGCUUGUUGGUGGGGUAAUGGCCUACCAAGGCGACGACGGGUAGCCGGCCUGAGAGGGCGACCGGCCACACUGGGACUGAGACACGGCCCAGACUCCUACGGGAGGCAGCAGUGGGGAAUAUUGCACAAUGGGCGAAAGCCUGAUGCAGCGACGCCGCGUGAGGGAUGACGGCCUUCGGGUUGUAAACCUCUUUCGACAGGGACGAAGCGUGAGUGACGGUACCUGUAGAAGAAGCACCGGCCAACUACGUGCCAGCAGCCGCGGUAAUACGUAGGGUGCGAGCGUUGUCCGGAAUUACUGGGCGUAAAGAGCUUGUAGGCGGUUUGUCGCGUCGUCCGUGAAAACUUGGGGCUCAACCCCAAGCUUGCGGGCGAUACGGGCAGACUUGAGUACUGCAGGGGAGACUGGAAUUCCUGGUGUAGCGGUGAAAUGCGCAGAUAUCAGGAGGAACACCGGUGGCGAAGGCGGGUCUCUGGGCAGUAACUGACGCUGAGAAGCGAAAGCGUGGGUAGCGAACAGGAUUAGAUACCCUGGUAGUCCACGCCGUAAACGGUGGGUACUAGGUGUGGGUUUCCUUCCACGGGAUCCGUGCCGUAGCUAACGCAUUAAGUACCGCUACUGCAGAAUACGCAGUCAAGGCUACAGUUCACAGGAAUUGACGGGUCCCCGCCCAAGCGGCGGAUCAUGUGCAAUAAUUCGAUGCAGCCGGAACAACCUUCCUUCAAUCUGACAUCCACCAGUAAUUUGCAGAGACGCUCGCACCUUGUGUUCUGUGUACAGGUGGGGCAUGUAGUUGGUCAGUUCGUGUUGUGCGAGUAUGGUCUAAGUCGCUUAAUGAGCGCAGAAAGAGUUUUACAUUCCCAAGGCGUUCAUGCGGCGCGUGGUGAGAGAGCAUCGGGGUCUACUCCGAGGAACAAUGUUACGCCGUCAAGUCUUCAGUAGGAGUAUGUGCAGGGUUUCACACACAGUGCAAUCGGUGGUCCUGACGGGCCGGAUACCGGUAGUUGGAGUGAUUGUCCUAAAGCCCGUCUCCAAUCGGAUAGGGGUCGGCAACUUGUCGCCGCGAAAAAUGAGUCCAUAGUAAUCGCAGAUCAGCACAGGUCAUAUUGAAUUCGUUCCCGGGCCUUGUACACACCGCCCGUCACGUCAUGAAAGUCGGUAACACCCGAAGCCGGUGGCCUAACCCCUUGUGGGAGGGAGCCGUCGAAGGUGGGAUCGGCGAUUGGGACGAAGUCGUAACAAGGUAGCCGUACCGGAAGGUGCGGCUGGAUCACCUCCUUUCU